rnacentral:rRNA from 1 species
GAAGGUGAAAGUCGUAACAAGGUCUCCGUAGGUGUACCUGCGGAGGGAUCAUUACACAAUAAACAUAUGAAGGCUGCACCGCCAACAGGCGGCAAGGCUGGAGUAUUUUAUUACCCUUGUCUUUUGCGCACUUGUUGUUUCCUGGGCGGGUUCGCCCGCCUCCAGGACCACAUGAUAAACCUUUUUUAUGCAGUUGCAAUCAGCGUCAGUACAACAAAUGUAAAUCAUUUACAACUUUCAACAACGGAUCUCUUGGUUCUGGCAUCGAUGAAGAACGCAGCGAAAUGCGAUACGUAGUGUGAAUUGCAGAAUUCAGUGAAUCAUCGAAUCUUUGAACGCACAUUGCGCCCUUUGGUAUUCCAAAGGGCAUGCCUGUUCGAGCGUCAUUUGUACCCUCAAGCUUUGCUUGGUGUUGGGCGUUUUUUGUCUUUGGUUUUGUCCAAAGACUCGCCUUAAAACGAUUGGCAGCCGGCCUACUGGUUUCGCAGCGCAGCACAUUUUUGCGCUUGCAAUCAGCAAAAGAGGACGGCACUCCAUCAAGACUCUAUAUCACUUUUGACCUCGGAUCAGGUAGGUAUACCCGCUGAACUUAAGCAUAUCAAUAAGGCGGAGGAUCC